UCCCGACCCCCGCCGACCUCCGCUGACCUCCGCCGACCUCCGCCGACCUCCGCUGACCUCCCCCUCCGAGCCCCGGUGCAGCCCCGGUGCAGCCCCGGUGCAGCCCCGGGGGCGGUGCGGCUCCUGCUGCAUGCACGCUGCUCGUGGACCCCGGGAGACGCGGAUUUUUCCACCCCACUCCCCGCGUAAGGAGCCGUUAGGGCGCUGUGUGGGCAGCUCGACACGGGCCAAAGUUUCAGCCUGCAAAAAAAAAAAAAAAAGAAAAAGAAAAUAAAUAAAAAUAAAUAAAUAAAUGGGGUGGGGAGGUAGAAAGGGAGGGGGCAAUUUUUCCUUUUUUUUUUUUUAUUUUUAUUUUUUUUCUUUUGCCUCCAACCACCCCUUUUUGUAGUUCCACAUGGAAGGAAGUCCGGGAGAACCAAAUGAAGGAGCAGGACAGGAGGAAGGGAAGAAACUUUUGUGUUGGCUUUUUUUAUUUUUUAUUUUUUUAUUUUUUUUUCUUUCCUUUUUUUUUUUUUUUUUUUUUUUUCCAGGAGGAGCUGGAAAUUAAAGAUCGGGUUCCUUUUCUGCCAGCUUGGAAGGGCAACCCUGUGACUGAUUGUGAUUCUAAGGAUGUCUAUGCAAAGUUGGAUUCUUGUUACAGUGUAUCCAAUCUGAAGUAUGCACAUCUGAACUGGGACUGUAAACACUGAUGCCAAUGCAGUGUGGGGUGCCAGAAAGUGUCUGCUGAUAUUUGUGGAAAAAAAAAAAAUCUAUUUUGUUUACCUACUGUAUCAAAGGGGAGUCUGGGGGAGAACGGUAGUAUUUUUUUUUUUUUUUUAUCAGCUGUGAAAAAAAAAUGUUACAGAUCUGCACAUUUUUGUGUGUACUGUGUGUGUGUGUGUGUGUGUGUGUGUGUUUCUUUGGGUUUCUUUUUGUUUUUUGUUUUUUUUUUUUUUAAGUUUAGCUUUUCUUUUUGGUUGGCAGUGACAGGUUUUGAUGACUAGCUCUUUAAAAUACAGUACAAAGACUUCAAAAAUGUGAUUCAGGGCCCCAGCACCCCUGUGUCUGCAGAGUGCCUUCAAAACUCAGCUGUUCCAGCCGGUGCCAACCUGUGAACUUCCCACCAUAACCCAGAAUCUGCUAUUCCCCAAACCACUUCCUAGUUUCCUUUCUGUAAUCUUCCUGAAGGAGCCAGGACAAUAGGGCCUGUUGUUUGGUGAAUUUCUUUAUUAUUUCCAGCCCUUAAAAUGUAAUUUCCAUGUCUUGCAAUGGUUUUGGUUGUUUUUUUUUGUUUUGUUUUUUUGUUUUUUUAUUUUGUUUUGUUUUGUUUUUUUGUUUUUUUUCUUUUUUUGCCCUUCUUUCUUUCUUUUUUAUCUGGCUUCAUUUUGUUCAAAUGUUCAGGUAUUUAGCUCCCCUUUGUAUUAUUUUUAAAAAUUUUUUGGGGUUAUCUGUUCUAGGGUGUUCCUCCAGAAGCAAAGAACAAAAUUUUCCUGUUGUGAUGUACCAAGAGAAUUCUCACUAAUUGUAAUUUUUAAUUCCAGACACGCGUUUAAUCAUUGUCUCUCCAUUUUAAGACUUUUAAUACAGAUGUCAUUUUUAAAGAAACAAAUCCAAAACUAUUGUUUGUGUUUCUGUGUUUCAUAUUCAGUGAUUUAAUACAGUAUCGAGGCUGAGGUGGAUAGGGGCAGCAGGUGCAUGAUGCUCCCAGCAGAAAUACCUCAGUGACAAGUUGGGUGACAUUACUUCCAACUCCCGUAAAUAUGGAAAAAAUCUUAAAGGUCUAAGAAGCCCUGAGGGUAUGGCCAUUACCAUUUGACUACAAGAUAAGCAGGAUUUUGAAUCUGUUCUGCUGACAGGGAGCAGUUUACCUCACUGUGGGUAGGGAAGGGGAGAAACCAACUCCUAAUACUGCCUUAGAUUUGGUGAAGUCACCAGUCACCUGACCAGGCAGGGUAGUGCUUUUAACUUUUCUUUUUCUUUCUUGCUUUCUGUCUUUCUUUCUUCUUCCUCUUUUUUUUUUUUAUUAAUGUUUUUGUUUAAUUACAUCACAUACAAAGUCAAAAACAUGUUUGAGGAACAUGAUUUCCAAUUCUGAAGUCAUUCCUAGUAGGGUUUUCUGCAGUGCAUUUGUGUGGGUUGCAGACCCUGUCUUAAUACUUGAGGUUUUGGUUUGAAAAUAGGUCAUUAUAUUAAAAAAAAAGAAGAGAAAGGAAAAAAUAAGAUAGACCCCUUACUCCCAUUAAACUGCAAUUUGUGGACCAUUUUGACCUCAUGAAAUUUUCCUUCUAACAGUAGGAGGCAGUGUGAGCUUCGUAUUGUAUUUUAUUUUACUUAAGGGCCACUUUACUAAUAUAACCUCUGUGUAGAAUAAAAGAAACUAUAUGACUGUAUAUCAAGAGCACACGAUACACCUUAGCUGUGUGAAGUGGAGGUGAAGUCAUCUGUGGGGGAAGCCAAAAGAAGUUACAGGCCACAGGCGUCUUUAAAGCUGUAUUAACAUCUUGCCUUAAAAAUGUGUCCUUGGCCCAUGUGACCUGUCACUCAAUAUUCCAGCGUGGUGGAGAAAGAGAGAAUUUGCCUGUGAUGGUCCUAUGGCUUUUUUUUUUUUUUUUCAUUCUUGAUCUUACAUAAGGUUAGAAUCACUCAUUUGGAAGGCAGUAUGUACGUGAGAAAUAGAGAAAUUAAGAAAUAACUCAAAUUUAUGUCUUUGCAAAUAUUGCCUUGCAUUUGAAUGAAUUCAGUUCUUUGGUAGAUUCAAAGUGUUGAAGAUUCUGAAGACCUCUACCAGGUUCUAUGUGAAGGACUUUUUUUUUUUUUUUAAGGCAUUUGGUGACUGUUGAGUUAUGGCUUUGUUGGUUUUUUUUUUUUUUUUUUUAAGCCUUUGACAUAAAGUGCUGCCAAAAUAUCUAACUAACUUAAGACAUGUAUAUACUCCUGAAACGGAGAAUUUGAAAACGGCAAAUUGGACAUGGACUAGGUUGCUGGGUGCAUUAAUCAUCUUCACACAGCAUUUAGUCACUUGCAUGACUAAUACUUUAUAGGUGUGAGAUGCCAGGGCAGACUUUAAUAUGCUUUCACUGAGUACUGUAAGAUAAAUGCUUUCUGGAUUCUCCAUGAAAAGCAAUUUUGCGUGUGUGCCUGGAGCAGGGACGUAGUAGUUCUGGGUUUUGUAGCUUUCUCCAUUAUUUUCUUGACAAAAUUGACAGAUAUCGGGGGCAUUGUUCUUAAAGACUACUCAGUUUAUUGGGCUAGUAAGAGCCCCCUGGAGUAUGGAGUAUGGUGUGAAAAGACAAGCAUUUGUUUCCAUGAAAAAAGCUGGGUUGACCUGAGAGUGUCCAAGGAAGCGAGGGAAUAGGCUGUAAGGCAGGCCUCACCUGCCCCAUUGGAAACUGGGUGGGAAAGGAGCCUUGAGCUGGGAGAGCAAAAGCUAACUUUUAAACUUGACCCCUGCUGUUCGUUUAACAGCUUUUCCUUUUGGUCCCUGUUAUCCAAGCUUUCGGUCUAUUCAAAGGAUGAUUUUUGUCCUCCUUUGGUAAGAGCCUCAGAAAAAUGGAAGGUGUCAUUGUUGGAAGUCUUACCAUUGUCAUGUUUGGGAGUUGCGGUUCUUAAGCAAGAACAAUUUCUAGGUCGUUAACUGGAGAAAUAGACCUCCCUGAAUCCCGUUUUAGGAUCAGAUCCGUUUUGGGGUUAGAGUUCUUUAGAAGUCUAGAGGCUUCGCUCUUCCCGAUUGGUUAACCUUUUCUGCUGGAGGCGGUCCUAAAAUGCUUCAUUUCUUUGGCCUGUUCUGGUAGUUUCAUAAAUGAUUUCACCAGCAUGUAAUUGCAUCUCUCGAGCCAAAGUCCAGUAUUUCUCACAGGUAGGGUGGGAAAGUGAAAGAACCCUGCUCGCGGCAGCUGGCCUUGAGAAAUAGAUGCAAAAUGUCACAAAAAGUACAUAUUUACUUUCCACGAUAGCUGGAAUGAGCUGCCUUCUUACAAAGGAGACAAAGAUUUAAUUUAGAGAUCACCACUGUUAGUUAAAAUGCUAUCAAACACUUGUCACACUGUCCGCUUAAUUGGGAAAAGCUUGCUAUAUGAAAUGCUGUCCUUGUGAAAAUGUAGCAAAUUCCUAACAAUGUGGUGUUUCUUAUUGUGAUCUUUUACUCAGACUACUAGGAAUCAUUAAGUGCAUUUGAUUGAACAUGGUGCUAGUUCCAGAAGGCAUAUUUGACUUCGUAACAAUGGAUUUUGACUGUUUGAGAAGAAGCCUUUAGGAGUAUCCUAGCCAGAGGUUUUUAAACUUGACUACCUGUCAGAAUCACCUGGAGGUUAAAACAGGUAUUGCUGGGCCCUUCUUCUAGUUUCUUAUUUAGUGUGUCUCGGCAGGCAUAAGCUCCUGUUUUCAUUUCCAGCCAGGUUUCCAGAUGAGGUUGAUCCUGCUGAUGCAGGGAUCAUCACACUUUGAAAGCCAAUAAACUAGUCCAAACUCCAAUCGAGUGAGUACUAACUGUAUCAGGAGCCACCUAGAUAGGGAGGGAGGGACUCAGGCCCACGGCACACAUUGCAGAGUGCUGCCUACCCCAAAGUCAUAAAAGAAUCUUGAUUGAAAUUUAUAACUCAAGAGGGCAGAGACCAUUGACAAUCAGGCUGUUCAAAACUGGCACGUGGCCCACUACAGACACACGGCAGGCAGGUAGAGUGUUGGAGCAUUUUCAGUUAAUUUAUGUGAACAGUUCGCCUGUGGUUUUCGGUGUUAACUUCAGAAGUUGACUAAAAUGAGAAGAACAGGGGCACAGCCUAAGUAAUCAGGAGUAACUUUUCUUCCCCUCAAAAAUUGUAAAAAAGAACGUCUUGAUACUUGUCUUCUCUUUGCUUCAAGGUUAAGAAGCAAGGAUCUUAACAUAUCCCAGCAAGGAUUCUAAAAAAAAAAAAAAAAAAGGAAAAAAAAAAACUAGAGAAUUUAAGUCUGCAGGUCGUGGUAAGCACAUGUAUGUGUCACAUGUAUGUAUGUAAAUACAUAUGCUCAAGGCUCUUAGCUGGACUUCCCAGGAAUCCGUUCACGUUCGGUGUCCUGUGGGCACACUGUUGUUCAUUCUGAGACCAUGCGCACGAUAAACCUGCCACCACGCACCUUGUUCCCUUAUGCACCCUGAUCUUUCGGAAGGAGUGUUCAUCUGCUUUGUAAAUUGGAGGGCACAGUAAUUUCGUAGCCUUCCUUUGGUUUUAAACAGAAAACUCUGAGGAAAUGUUUUCUUAGAAGAGGAAAUUAUGUGCUUUUUUGAUCCACCUGACUAAAACAACAUUUUUUUUUUUUUAAUGAAUUGUCUGACAAAAUUAUGCGUGGCUAAGUUUAUCAGAGAUUGGAAUAUGUUUGGUUGGUUUACCUGUGGUAACUCUGCAAGUGUAACAAACACACUUUUUUUUUUUUUUAAUAGAGAAGAGAAGGAUUACUGAUGCCUUCAGCAUACAGGUGGCCCAAAAUGGCCCUAGAUGAUUUCUUGGUCAAGAAGAUGUUUGCAGUGGAAGUUCGUAAACGUAGCUGCAACUGAUUUAUCCCUUAUUCAGUAAGCAUUUGUUGAGCACCUACUAUUGGCUGUGGUGUAAGGACUAAAGCUCAAGUAGGAGGAAGCCAGGCAAAGGAGCAACAGUAUUGUCCUUUAAUCGCUGUAAACUGUGAAAAUAGUAUAUAUUAAACAAAAGGAAUAUGGAAAUGGUCAGCUACAUGUGCCAUCAAUUUUAACAUAAUACUGCAGGUCUGUCUGGCAGGCAGAAGAGAAGGUAAACUUGCUGAGAAUUGGAACUUCACUUUGAACGGUAUGUGGAUAUUGCAAAUAAAAAUGGAUCCCAUGAGGUUUGAGUAACUAAUAGUUGUUCUGUUUCAUGUGAAACUCUGCAAUUUUGUGCAUCGUUUCCAACUUCCUUUUGGAGGUUAGCUAAAAUGGAACAUUUAGAAAUAGGAGACCAGGUUGCUUCCAUACUUUCAUGUCAAGGGGAAGAGGGGAAAAUGGAGGGAAAGACAGGAGAUCUGUAGCCACUGUUUAAAAAAACAACAACAAAGAACUUUAAAUGAAGAAACGAAAAAGGAAAAUACAAUUUAGAUACUUUACAAAAAGAAGCAGUUGUUGGCAAACAAUCUUUUUGGGGGGGUUCUUCACGUGAAGAAGAUUCAGGGUAAGAUGUCUCUCUUGUAGGAGAUAAUCUUCUAAAAAAUGAGUGUGCCAAAGAAUUAAGCUGACACUUUAAGUUUGUGAAGCUUACAGCAAUUUCUACAAAAGCUCUGGUUCUCACGCCUUUCGUACUUAUUGGAGGAAGGCUCUGAGAAGGAGGUGUUGGGCAACAAGCUGUACGAGGUAACAAUAACAGCGGUUAUUGUAAAACCAUGGAAACUGAAGGGAGAUGUAACUAUUAACCUCCUGCAGUUUGCAAGAUGAUUUCCAGUGACUGUUCUAUGUAGACUAUCUCCCGAAUUACCAACACACUUUUUGAACGUGGAGAGUACGAGAAGUACAGAGAUAGCUGAAUAGUUCAUCUGAAGGUACUUCGCCACCUAUUUUUUUAAUCUGACGAUAGAACCAUUUAUGAGAUGCAAAUUUAUUACUUAUAGUUUUAUAGCUAAAGCAAAGGUCUUAAUAUUUUACAUCUAUCUGACCGUUUAUAAAAAGCAUUCAAAAUUUGGUUUUAGCCAUGAAUUCAGAAUAUUUUCAUGUUAUUUAAUGUUAUGCAUAUUGAUAUUAAUAUAAUAGUUUUAACAUUCUCUUUAAAGACUAACAUUAUAUCUCAUUCAAGGAAAGAGCCUCUAUGGAGAUCUGUACUAGCCCAAUUCUAUAUGAACGUAUAUGCCAACAAAAUAUAUUUUAAAAUAUAUUUUAGAUAGUUUUGCAUUCUGCAUUGCAAGUGGGUAAGAGGAUUGCGAAAGCAUAUUCUUGAGUUUGAUCUCAACGUCAUUUAUCGUCUAGUAGAGAAAAGGCUUGGGUUUGGAGUUCUUUACUCUGAGUUUGGUUAAUUAGCUUUAUUUCGUCAUAGUACUUGUUAGUUUUCUUUUUGUGUAUCAUUUCAUUCAUCCACAUAUGGUUUACGCAAAUGGUUUUCUCUGUUACAAAUGUAAUUUGUAUUAAUUGAUGAAAAAAAUCUAAGAACUGAUUACCUAAUGACUAUAUAAAAGUGUUUUCUGUGUAAUAGAAACAGAUCCAACUAGUUAGAGAGAGCUGCCCACUAAACAGGCAUUGUCUUCAGGUUCGCGCAUAGUCUCUGUGCUUUAUUUUAAAAACUAAUGAAGGAUGUUUUAAAAAAAAAAAUGAGUUCGAUCACAGGAAUAUUCAUUUUAAGGUACUUAGGGCUGCCUAAAAAUAUCUCCAGGCCCUCCCUUCUUCCUCACUACUCUUCAGCAGAGGUCCAAAAAUGAGAAAUAGCCCACGUGCAUUCUCUUUUCUGAAGUGAAUCAUCUACCUUGAAAGGCAGGGACAACAAACAGGAACCUACUGCAAAGAACAAAACUGUUUUUUUCCUGCAUUUUUGUACAAACCAGGACUAUUUUGUUAUCAAGGAGGCAUAAAGAGUGGGAAGGGCAAUAAAAUAUCUUCCUGAGUCAUCCAGGUAGCGUUCGGCGGGCUGUUGGGGACCCCGGUUGCUCAGGCAGGAGAGGGCGAUGGAGCUGGAGGGGCCCGGAGGGCAGGGCGCCAGGUGGAUGGGUCCCUCAGCCCACACCCCUACUCCUGCCUUCCUCCAGCCCGCAGCAUUUCCUUGCGUGCAGAUUCGUGAUUCACUGUGACUCAGGAUUAAUUGAGGCUUAUUUCUGCCACCAGCCAAGGGUGAGGAAGCCUAUGGGAUGGCGGGAUCGUGCUACUGUCACAGAGUUGACUCUAACUCGGGGUUCCUCAGCCUCAGGACUAUUACCAUUCUGGGCUCGAUGAUAGCUCUUUGUGGGGGGCUGCUGUCCUGUGCAUCGGAGAAGGUUUAGCGGCAUCCCUGGCCUCUACCCACUAGAUAGAUGCCAGUCGAAGAAGCCCCUCAACCCAGACAAUCAAAAAGAUCUGCAGACGUUGCCAAAUCAUUCCCUGGGCCAGGGGCCCAACGGCCCCCGGUUGGGAACCAUCGCUCUGCACUGGACCACGAAGAGAUGGAGGAGGCAGGCUUAAACCCAGAGGAGAGAUAGGCUGAACCUAUAGUAAACCUGAGACUUUCCUUACUCCAAGAGACUCCUGUAAGGUCCAAGAUUUAAACAAACAGAUUUCCUUAUUCCAGAGCAUUACAGCGAAUGCUCUUCUAUUGCAAUAGCAGUGUUCUCUGCCGUGCUUGGGAUGAAGCACUCUGAUCAGCUCAUCAAAUCCACACGUAAGAGAAAAGCGCAAUAUUCAGGGAUUGAGAGCUAUUGGGGAUUUCGGUGACCUUGGAAGGAGGACUAUGAUUUCAAAGGAAGGUGUGCUCUGGUCGGGGUGAGGAACUUGGCGAGUCAUUCGGCCACGGCCACGCUGGUGACUAAGUAGAGGGACCUAGAUGUGUGGGAGGGAUCCUGAAAGGGAAGUGAAGGGCAACGGUGCUUUAGUUCUGUUUGGGGUCCCUCGAGCCUCCACUGGGAGACAUCUGGGAGGUUUUCAGCCUUACUCAGCUUCCUCCACUUCACCUCACAAUCUCUUCCCUGUUUAUCCAGGCCCCUGUUCGACAUCUGGACUCCUCACUUUGGGGGAGAAAGGAUGUGUUUUAUGCAUCCUGUCCCUCUUUAUUUUUUGCCUUUUUACAAUUCCUCCCUCCCUCCCUCCCUCCCUUUCCUUCCUUCCUUUUUCUUAGCUACCUUCAGAACAAAUGGACUGAAUUUGUCCAAGGGGGACUCCUGCUGGUUAACUGCACACACCUGCCUGUGCCCAGACCCCUUAGCCGGGCUGGCAAGAAGGGGACUGCAGAGGCGGCGGUGAGGGCUUUGUAAUGAAGUGCCUCUGGAAUCUGGUAUCUCAAGCCAGCACAGAUGCUGGCUGCCAACCCCUGAAACACAGCAUUAAGUAUCUUGUCAGCAAGUUCAUUAAUGUGGAAUUAACUCAGUGACCAUGGAUAUUUGAUUUUUUUUUUUUCUGAACCAGACAUGGUUGUUUUCGUUCUUAAGUUUUAGAUGGAAUAGAUAUUUUAAAACCUGUGCAAUACAGUCCCUAAAAACUUUAAGCAACUAGACAAUUAGACACCCGAGGGGUGGGACCAUGGUGAUUCUACAUUUCAUAGCCAGGCACAUUUGGAAAUCUAACAUUCCUAGUGAAGUAGGAGAUAUAGCAGUUUUGUAACUGAGCGAGAACAAUCUCCAAGCCCAUCAAAAGGCUCUAAUCAGCCAGAAGAGGCUCUCUAAGAAAGCUCUUCUUUAAAAAAAAUAAAACUAAUGAAGAAAUACAAUACUAAUGAAGAGAGAUCCCAGAGUUUUAAAAAAAAGAAAGAAAGAAAGAAGACAACACUUAUGGGAUAUGAAAACCAGGUGCAGAGGACUGAAAAGUACUGCCAUCAGGGUCUGCCUCCUGCUACCAUGCAAACCAGCCUCUUGAGGAUGAGACCCCUUAUGAAGAAAGGCCUUUGGCAUCCCGGCUGUUUUUGCUGUAGCCCCAGAGCCUCGGGCAUAGAGGGAGGCCUUUUCUCCUCACUGAGCCCCAGAUGAACUGGCUUAGUGCGGAAGAACUAGCCAGAUCAUUUAUAGAUAGAAUUGGGACAGAAAUGGUCGUUGUUUCAAGUCACUAAGCUUUGUGCUGUUUCUCUGUGAAGCAACGGCUAAUAUAUAUUAUAUAUAGUUGUAUAUCGUACUGCAUAUAUAGUCAUAUAUUAUAGUUAUGUAUAGUCACACACACACAUAUAAUAUAUAUAUUAGUUGAGGUGGUUGUGGAAGGGGGUGAAACAGUAGGAGAAAGAGGGCAAAAGGCCCUGAUUAUAUUUUUGCAACCUGAGGAUACAGGCAGAAUGGAUAGAGGCAGAGGAGCUCUUGAGGACGGUGAUGUACAAAAAAGGAAGAAGGGAAUAACAUUAAAAACAAACUUCAGGGGCGCCUGGGUGGCUCAGUGGUUGACCGUCUGUCUACCUUUGGCUCAGGGCAUGACCCCACGGU